rnacentral:rRNA from 1 species
AACGAACGCUGGCGGCAUGCCUAACACAUGCAAGUCGAACGAGACCUUCGGGUCUAGUGGCGCACGGGUGCGUACCGCGUGGGAACCUGCCCUUAGGUUCGGAAUAACUCCCCGAAAGGGGUGCUAAUACCGGAUAAUGUCUUCGGACCAAAGAUUUAUCGCUUUUGGAUGGGCCCGCGUUGGAUUAGCUAGUUGGUAGGGUAAAAGCCUACCAAGGCGACGAUCCAUAGCUGGUCUGAGAGGAUGAUCAGCCACACUGGGACUGAGACACGGCCCAGACUCCUACGGGAGGCAGCAGUGGGUAAUAUUGGACAAUGGGCGAAAGCCUGAUCCAGCAAUGCCGCGUGAGUGAUGAAGGCCUUAGGGUUGUAAAGCUCUUUUACCCGGGAUGAUAAUGACAGUACCGGGAGAAUAAGCUCCGGCUAACUCCGUG